AAAGGAACUGCUUUUCUUUCCGUCCCCAUCUCUUUCUCUCAAGGUAAAGACACAACUGAAGAUGAAGCUUGCUGUGUUUGCUUCCCUGCUGAUGAUUAUACCGUUCCAGGCCAAAGCUAACACAUGUGUCAAUAAAAAAGUGCUAGUCUGGGUGACACAUGGCAAAAAUCUUGGGGAUGGACUUCAAAGCCCAGAUCCCUAUGUUGUGGUGAAAAUCAACAGUUACACACAAAAAUCCAGAGUCAUUGAUUCAAGUUCCAACCCAGAGUGGUGGGAGGAGUUACAAUUUCCAGAGGCCACCAACAAAAUCAUUGAAAUCGAGGUCUGGGACAAAAAGAAGUUCACUCCUGAUGACAAGUUAGGGGCAUGCACAGAGCAACUGUUACAUGAAGGUCAAAGUCAUGUCACCAUUAGGUGCAGAAUGAACAACAAUACAGGUGUUGUCAACAUCCUUUACAACUGUAACUAAAAGUAACCUGCUCUUGAAAAUGAAAGGAUUUGAGGUGAAGAAAAUUCUCUGUCUUUGAAAUGUUUGGUGGUGGAAAAACAGAACUUUGUGUUAAAUACUGAUGGUUCUUUUCCCACUAUAUUGUUCUUUGCUUGUUUCAAAAUUGACGUUUGCUGUUAUGAAACUAUAUUUAUAAAGGCCACAGUGUGCAAAUAGCUAAUAUUGUCUACCUGUGACUUUUUGGUCAUUAGACAGUUGAAAAAUAAACACGAUUCAUCACCAUUAUUUGUGAAAUUGAAACUUGUGUUUAAAAAAAUUGCUGUUUUUCCUCUGUUCUGUUGGCUUUAAGAAACUGCACCUGCUCUGUAUCUUUUCUGCACAACUAUAAUAACCUUUCACUUAAAGAUAUAAUUCUGUUUCAAAUGAAAAGGUGAAUGAAUAAAAUCGGAAGAUAAUA